UCUCCAUUCUCACCGUUGGUCUCUCUGUCAAUCUCACAUCCAUGGCAGUGAAAUCCUCACUGGUUGGCUUUCCCUUUUUGGCUCCUGAUGAUCUUAGCUAAGCCCAGUGGAUUGUCCCCAUCAAAUAUAACCGGUUAAGAUCAUGUUUCCAGUGAAGUGCAGAGCUGAAUGAGAGAUAAAGGAAUUGCUUCAGAGAUGGAACUAAGUUACUUCAGGAAGGCUCUGGGAGAGGUGUGAAUGGACAGCAAAGCGCCAAAAGGCAAGUGGCCAGAGGAAGACCCACAACCUGGACACAAGCCCCAUGAAACAGAAAAAUCCACAGAUGUCUACUGUUGUCUCAGAGACUAGAACCUGCUGGCUCCUACAGCUUCUGAGUGGGGAGCCUCAAAUGCUAGACAGCUGUGUGGUCACUGUGAGGACAACAAAGUGGCAGUCAUUCUUGAAGACACAUAGAAGAAAAUCCAGCAAAAAUAAACACCAACCUAGGAGUUCCGAAGAGCCUGCUCAAGAAUUAAACUGCAUUGUUGUCUCUGUG